rnacentral:rRNA from 1 species
CCUACGGGCGGCUGCAGUGAGGAAUAUUGGUCAAUGGCCGUAAGGCUGAACCAGCCAAGUCGCGUGAAGGAAGAAGGAUCUAUGGUUUGUAAACUUCUUUUAUCGGGGAAUAAAGGUAUCCACGUGUGGAUAUUUGCAUGUACCCUAUGAAUAAGCAUCGGCUAACCCCGUGCCAGCAGCCGCGGUAAUACGGAGGAUGCGAGCGUUAUCCGGAUUUAUUGGGUUUAAAGGGUGCGUAGGUUGUUUUUUAAGUCAGCGGUGAAAGUUUGUGGCUCAACCAUAAAAUUGCCGUUGAAACUGGCAGACUUGAGUGUGUUUGAGGUAGGCGGAAUGCGUGGUGUAGCGGUGAAAUGCAUAGAUAUCACGCAGAACUCCGAUUGCGAAGGCAGCUUACUAAGCCAUAACUGACGCUGAAGCACGAAAGCGUGGGGAUCAAACAGGAUUAGAUACCCGUGUAGUC